CAGCCGCCGCGGUAAAACGGAGGGUGCAAGCGCUAAUCGGAAUUACUGGGCGUAAAGCGCACGCAGGCGGUUUGUUAAGUCAGAUGUGAAAUCCCCGAGCUUAACUUGGGAACUGCAUUUGAAACUGGCAAGCUAGAGUCUUGUAGAGGGGGGUAGAAUUCCAGGUGUAGCGGUGAAAUGCGUAGAGAUCUGGAGGAAUACCGGUGGCGAAGGCGGCCCCCUGGACAAAGACCGACGCUCAGGUGCGAAAGCGUGGGGAGCAAACAGGAUUAGAUACCCGUGUAGUCCCUGUCUCUUAUAC
rnacentral:rRNA from 1 species